UUAACUUUUAUUUAUAGGUGCUCAGACAACUAGAGAUUUUAGUGGUUUUGCGUUCCUCUGGCAGACGCCGGCAAGCCGGCUUAGAGAGAGGUCUCUCCCAGAGACCGCCUGCCAAAAGAAUAAAGAGUAGAUUCACAGUGGGUUAGGAGUUUUUACACUCUUGUAAUGAUCCCUCCGCAGGUUCACCUACGGAGA
rnacentral:misc_RNA from 1 species